CCCUUAGAUGUCCUGGGCCGCACGCGCGCUACACUGAGUGUCUGAGAUACGAGUCUGCCUGGUCCGGCAAGGUCUAGGUAAUCGCUAAAAGACACAUCAUGCUUGGGAUAGAUUAAUGCAAAUAUUAAUCUUGAACGAGGAAUUCCUAGUAAGCGCAAGUCAACAGCUUGCGUUGAUUACGUCCCUGCCCUUUGUACACACCGCCCGUCGCUACUACUGAUUGGAUGUUUAAGCGAGGUUCUCGAACUGCUAGCGACUUAGCUUCGGUGAGGUCGCAGUGUGGGAAGUGAACCUAGCUUUGGUGUCUAGAGGAAGUAAAAGUCGUAACA
rnacentral:rRNA from 1 species